rnacentral:lncRNA from 1 species
CUCUAAUAAACUGCAAGAAAGUAAAAUGCCUCUCCCCACAGGAUUUUGCAUAUUAAGAAUGCCACUACUGUCCCAAUAGAUGCAAGAUGAGGCAUAAAUUAGUACCAGUUAUUUUGGAGCUUUAGGAUACUUCCUACCACCACUGCCCCACCCACCCUUCGACGCGGCUGCCUCGGUUUCCCGGACCAGCAGUGUGUGCACACGACCCCGUGGUCUGCAACUACCAGAGCGUUCCAAACGAGUCCGAAGCCUCGGCUCCUCUCCCCGCACCUCCCCCUCCUGGAGCCCUCGGUGGCCCGCUGACGUUUCCUGGACGUUGUGAACUCGCAGUAAGAAUGGAUCCACUGUCUGCGCACAUUCUUAAGGGCAGGAAACCUGACCCACCCCAAAACCACGCGCUCCCAAGGAAGGGCACUUGCAUUUUCCGGGAGGGCAGGCCUCUGCCAGGUUAGCGGGGCUGGCC